UAUGUUUUAGUAUUUAAUGUAUAUGAGUUUUUGGUACUUUAGGAGGUAGUUUAAAUCUAUCAGGCAUAA
rnacentral:tRNA from 1 species